GUGGAUUAGAUACCCUGGUAGUCCACGCCGUAAACGAUGGAUACUAGCUGUUGGAAGCAAUUUCAGUGGCUAAGCGAAAGUGAUAAGUAUCCCACCUGGGGAGUACGUUCGCAAGAAUGAAACUCAAAGGAAUUGACGGGGGCCCGCACAAGCGGUGGAGCAUGUGGUUUAAUUCGAUGAUACGCGAGGAACCUUACCAAGGCUUAAAUGUAGAUUGACAGGUUUGGAAACAGACUUUUCUUCGGGCAAUUUACAAGGUGCUGCAUGGUUG
rnacentral:rRNA from 1 species